AUAGGAAUAUGCAGGUAGAUAGACUUAGAAGACUGGAGUCUGGUGAGCAGCAAAGGUUUAAAGAAGUCAGUAAAUAAAAUCUGCACCACAUACAUUUUAGAGAGGAGUGAUUAUGCUUUUAGGAUGAAGGUUGAUCUUGUGAUUAAAGGCCCUGAUCUUGAUUGGGAUUCAAGAGAUCAGGGUUAAGUCCACGACACUGCCCCAGACAUUCUGCAUGACUUGGCGAAGUUGGGAAGUGUGUAGUAAAGAAGCAGGCAAUUGCAGGAAGACAAAAGAAUGAUCUCAUCAUGAAGGCAGUUGAAGGAUGCCCCGAGAAUUGGAUUCUAUCCCUACCUGAGCCACAGAGUUCCUGUGUGAUGCUGGACAAGUCACUGAAACCAAACGUUUCACAGAUCGGUCUGCAUUAAAAUCCUGAUGGCCCCAAACUUCCCAGCUAGCUCCUAUCUAUAACAUGCUGCGCCAAAAUCCUGGAUGUGUUCUAAAAUGAGCUGCAUGCUGCCCACCUCAAAGAAGAUUGCUGUGACGACCUUUGAAGAAAGUGAGCAAGCACAAGUGAAGGUGAAAAUGAAGAAAUCCAGGAAGAUUCCUAUUACAUGAAAAAAUCUGAAUUGCAGCUUUACAAAUGAAACAUUAUAUUAUACAACUGUAGGUGGGUGAGAAUUAGUGAUAACAGUUAGGGGGAAUCAAUUGAUCAUAUAUGGUAAUAACCAAAUCUACGAGUAAACUUGGAAAAUAAACAGCCAUAAACCAUGUUCCUGCAUUUUCAUAUAUUCUUCAAAAUAGAUAAAUUAAUUUUUCUGCCAACACUUCCUCUAAGUUGCUUGCUUUUAGUUGAUUCCAUCCCUUUUUCUACUUUGUGGAUCUCUUAUACACCCUGGAUUUCUUCAGAGGAUUCUUUUUCUUCAUAAAAUGUAGAAUUGAAGGUAAGUUCCACCAAACUACUGCAAAGAGGCCUUUUUUUUUUUAAUGAAACAAAUAUGAAAUUCUUCUGAGAGACUCUCUCAAACAAAACGUUAAGGUAGCACAAUUUGAAACAUCCCACGUGCUUUGUUUCUGGAACUGUAACUACAGUACUUUUCAAGGUUCUAUAAUAAUUUAAAAAACACCUAAUUGUCCAGGAAAAAAGCAAACAAACCACAGAAAAUGAUCUUUGUCUAGCAUGUCUGUUGACAAAAGCACAAUCCAAUAUAACAGACAGCUAAUUGUUUUCAAGAUCAGUGCUACCGGUCUCAGAGCAUCUGCAUCUUCAUUCAUGUGGAAUAGCCAAGCUGUCUAUGCCCCAUUAAACACAUUGACAGAGUUUACCAUUUGCAUGGAAAAAAAGGUAUGUUCAGAUGACAGGCUUCCCCACAGAAAAAAUACAACACUUGUAGCAUUUUUUUUAAAUCAGAGAUUAAUUUUCAUAACAUCCCAUAACAGUUCUGUUAAAGCAAUUAAAAAAUACAUCUCAAACAUAAGAGAUGUGCUACAUUAAGGUAUUUAAUAGACAACUCAGUGUUCAUAUGAAUCAACACUUUUGUGUGUAGGGCAAACAAGGCUCCAGCUGCGUAAACCCAAGAGUAGCCCUUUGAGGUUAAUGGACUACUUAGGUGAGUAAAGGAAUAGCGCAAGUGUCUGCAGAACCAGUCCUUAAGAUUUGAAAUCUUCUCCAUCUCUUUUAUUAUUUGUGUAUGUUUUACUAAAAACAUACACAAAAUAUUUUACAUGGUGUUCUGCCAAAGUCUCCCUUUGUUUUCAGUUUUAUGAAUACAAGCCCUUUCAGUUGAGAACUGUUGGACAACAACAAAGAUUGUCCCUUUCUGCUCUAUUAAUCUCCUUAUCUCUUAAUUUAUCCCCACAUGUUCCUUGCAUAACUUAAAUUCAGAGUUCACUAAAGCUUCCUAGUUUGGGUUCACUUUUACCAGCAUAAACAUACACUGGAUCCCAUUUUUCACCUGUCACAUGGACUGACAUUUCCUCUAGUAGAAAGAAAUUUCUUAAGGUUAACAGCCACUUCUCUAUGAAAAAGAAUCACCACCUGAGUCAUUGCAAAUGACAAUAAGGAGGGGUGGCAUUUUUCACUAUCUCGUCAAUAAACACUUUAAUAACUUAUUUCAACAAUUGAAGGUGUAAUCCCCACACAUAGACACUAUAUUAUACUUUCAAAUAUUAAUGUUGAGAUACUUCGUUUACUCUUUCAUCAAGAAAAGACAACAGAUUUCAAUAUUCUGCAAACUGACACGAUC